rnacentral:rRNA from 1 species
UGGUGGAGUGAUUUGUCUGGUUAAUUCCGUUAACGAACGAGACCCCUGCUGCUAAAUAGUCAAAUGAGUGAUUUUUCACUGAUUGUGGCUUCUUAGAGGGACGUGCAUUUUAUUAGAUGCAGGAGGAUAGGGGCAAUAACA